AAGAUCCUGGGGACAAGAAUGAAAGGAAGCGAGAGUCAUUCGUGUCCGUCGAUCCAAACGCGAAAAGAAAAAGACUACGAAGAUGUUCGUCGUUCAGAAGAAAAAUCAUCAUCAAAAAUCAAGAGGAAAAUCAUCAUCGAUUAGGAGAUUACGAGACUGGUGAAUACGUGAAUCUGUGCUAAGAAUACCCGGCUCCAUCGAGAACAAAUAUUUCGUUCUGUGCUUUUUUCUUUUUUCGAUCCUUUCUUUUCUCUUAUGUAAUUCUUCAAAUUGAAACUCUGGUGGCGCAGUAUUGAAGAAAGAUCGAGAAAUUGGAUUCAAAGGAGCUGUGGGUGAUGAUGAUCGAGAUUGAAGGGUUAUGGAGAAUGAUCGAGUUUGAGCUAGGGUUGCUGUUUCGGUUAACCAGAUGAAGAAAUAGGGUUUUAUUUCGCAAAUGGAUUUGACGUUGUUUCCAUCAAUUGGUGAUUCAUUGAGAUGAAGAGUUAGGGUUUGUGUUGAAACUGGAGACGAGAAGAUUGUGAGAGAAACUGGAGUUAGGGUUUCAUAUUUGUUGUUGAAGAAAUUGGAUGGAUGGGUUUGUGUUGGAAUUAUGUCUGGAUCGAUUUACAGGGAAGAUUGUGAGAGAAAUUUACAACAGAAGCAAAGAAGCAAAGCUUUGAUUUUUAACAGACCGUUUUCUCCUGGGAAGGAAUCAGAAAAUCACAGAAAAAGAGAUUAGGUGAGCGAUUCUAAUAAUUUUAGAAUUGAGAAACUUCUCUCGGUUUCUGCUCUUCGUUCUCAUAGAAUUCAAGCCCUAGCAAUCUUGAUUUGUCCUGAUUGCUCUGUGAUUGAUUUCUCGGUUGAUGCACCAAUUUCUCGAAAUUGUGGCCCUCAGGUUGAUCAUGCUUUCUAUUGCCGUCUGAGUUACAUUAACAACCACAAUUCUUACCGCCAGAAAAGCAAACCAGGUGUAUGAUUUUUGUUUGAAGAUAAAGAGAUUUGAAGAACAAAGAUGAGAGAGAUGUGAAGGGGUGUAUGAUUUAGUUGAAUUUUCAAUUAGCACAUCCGGGUAUGCAAGUAGAGCAGUUUGGCCAUGUGCAUUAUGCUAAUAGAGAGCCAAUUGAACUGGCCAGCACAGAUUUCUUUAAAUGGUCAGAUUCUAUGAAGUAUGAACAGAUUAAUUUUGAGGUUUGAUUAACAAAUUAAUGCUUGAUUUCUUAUUUCGAUAUCCAGUUUGGGAACUUUGUAGCUGAAUGGCAGUAGUGAUUGUGGAUGUGGAUGUUUGAAAGACUUGGAAGAUGGAGAUAACAUGGCAUGAUGGGUACAAAGUGGUUCACAGAAAUGGCUCGAUGGUUUGCUGAUUUGAGUCAAGUCUUGGUAGUGAAUGGCAGUAAAAGAGGUGUAAUGCUAACAUGUUUCGUGUGAUCGUUUUCGACACAAUUGUCGUUUGUUUAGGUGCUGAGAUAAAGGUGAGGGUUUUGCUAACCGUUUCUUCUUCAUGACGGGUGAUAAUCAGUCAUAUCCAGAUACAGGGCCUGCGCAUUGUUGGUAACAAUAAUCGUGUCAGUCCUGGUAUCAAGGAACCUGUAGGGCUGCUGGGAUUGGUUAUAGGAGACAACGAAACCACUGCAAAGCCAAUUGCAAGGGAAUGUAGGGGGUAUCUCAAUUGAAGAUCCAAUAUUGGGGAGAAGUUUUUGUAAGAAUUAGAAAAACUAAAUCAAAAUAUUCCGGUAUUACUCUCUAUCUCCUCUCAAUAUUGGUGUACCAUAUAGACAAUAUGCAGAAUAAACCUUCAAGAACAAGGAACCAUUGAACCGUGUUUUCCAGCAUCUAUUUUGGCUUCUUAUACUGUCUGUUACGAAUAUUAAUUGGUGAGUUCAUUUGAAUCAGGGAAAUGAUUGUGGUAUGCAUGUAGUUACAUAAACAUUUUUAAACAUGGAUUCAUUGGUGAACCACUCUGGAUGACUUUUUUUAUGACGAGAUAUCGAUUUUUUUUGCAUUGC